rnacentral:lncRNA from 1 species
CUGGUUGGUCCAGUAGAUAAUGCGAUCUCUUGUUAUGUGUUUUCUCCUUGCAUCAGGGAUUCAACUCUGGCUAUGAGUCUGAAUGCUGGGUUAUCAUCUAAAAAUGACCUCCCCAGCAGCACUGCAGGGCAAGAGGGCCUUCACUUCUUAAUGAUGUGUCCCAAGGACAAGACGAGCUUGGUGCCAGCCUUGCAAAAUCCACCCUGACCCCCGAGGUACCUUUGAAAGUGGUUGAAAUUUCAAGCUUUUCUUUC